rnacentral:rRNA from 1 species
AGUGAACGCUGGCGGCAGGCCUAACACAUGCAAGUCGAACGGCAGCACAGUAAUUGCUUGCUGUUUCGGGUGGCGACUGGCGGACGAGGGGGGAGUACAUCGGAAUUGACUUUUUCGCAGGUGGUAACGUAGGCAGACUUACGGUAACACAUCAUAGGUCGGACGGGUGAGAGCUGCGGAUCUUCGGACCUUGUGUGAUUGUAGGAGGGGAUGUCGGAGUAGCUAGUUGGCGGGGUAAAGGCGCAAGAAGGCGACGAUGCGUAGCUGGUGUGAGAGGGUGAUCAGCCACACUGGAACUGAGACACGGUCCAGACUCCUACGGGAGGCAGCAGUAGGGAAUAUUGGACAAUGGGCGCAAGCCUGAUCCAGCCACAGCGAGUGCGUGAAGAAGGUCUUCGGCUUGUAAAGCUCUUUUCUUGGGGAAGAAGAGCAGGACGUUUAUACCCCGCUGUUCUGACGGUACUCAAAGAAUAAGCACCGGCUAACUUCGUG